UCGUCNCAUAGAUUGUAGGGAGGUGCCCGUGCUCUGAGCCACAAGGACAGCAGAGUACAGCAGCGCAGCCAAACAAAAGAGUGCAGUACACAAGCGAGUCCUACAAGGCACAUUCACCUACCCGAAGAUGGGCUACCAUGUCCCAAGAGUUAUCCUCGCCUGCCAACUGACAGUGACUGACAAGGCAAGAAACAUCACGCGCGAACAAAUCAAAGACUACAAGCACGCUUACGCUGAGCAAGCAGACAAUCAAUGCAGCACGUGACAAUCUCACCAAGCAGACUGGUUCCAUCCGCUUUCGUUUCAGCAAGUUCAGGCACUUUUAACUCUCUUUUCAAAGUCCUUUUCAUCUUUCCCUCAUGGUACUUGUUUGCUAUCGGUC
rnacentral:rRNA from 1 species